rnacentral:rRNA from 1 species
CCACGGGGGGCGCAAGCGUUAUUCGGAAUUAUUGAGCGUAAAGGGCGUGUAGGCGGUUUUAUCGGUCAGAUGUGAAAGCCCAGGGCUCAACCCUGGACGUGCAUUUGAAACAGUAAGACUUGAGUACGAUAGAGGAAAGCGGAAUUCCUGGUGUAGAGGUGAAAUUCGUAGAUAUCAGGAGGAACACCGAUGGCGAAGGCAGCUUUCUGGACCGAAACUGACGCUGAUGCGCGAAGGCGUGGGUAGCGAACAGGAUUAGAAACCCCGGUAGUCC